AGUCGACAGCAAGUCAGUAUUAAAGUUAAACCAUAGCAUCAUAAAAAAAUGAAACUUACAAUUUUCCUAUUUGUACUUAUCACAUAUAUUUGCUGUAAUUCUGCAGCUUCUGUUAACAAGGAUCUAGAAACCGAAAUCGAAGAAGGGAUUUUGACACAGCCUCUGGAAUUGGUCCGUGAGGUAAGAGCAGCUGCAGGAUGUGACCCCAACAAAUGCGAUCAGUACUGCAGGUACUGCUUCAACGGGCAUUGUGACUGUAAUCACCAUUAGGUCACUCAAAGUUUUACCAUUCAAUCCAAUUUUAUGUUCUGUGUUUCAUA